GACAGAGGGUGCAAACGUUGCUCGGAAUUACUGGGCGUAAAGGGCGUGUAGGCGGGAAGGCAAGUCGGGCGUGAAAUCCCCAGGCUCAACCUGGGAACUGCACUCGAAACUGCCUUUCUUGAGUGCCGGAGAGGAAAGCGGAAUUCCUGGUGUAGAGGUGAAAUUCGUAGAUAUUAGGAAGAACACCGGUGGCGAAGGCGGCCCACUGGAUCGGUACUGACGCUGAGGUGCGAAAGCGUGGGGAGCAAACAGG
rnacentral:rRNA from 1 species